rnacentral:tmRNA from 1 species
GGGGGCGAAACGGCUUCGACGGGGACGAUCAUUCGACAGGUUGCAUGCCGAGGUUCACUCCCCUCGUAAAAAAAGGGUGAAAAACAGUAGCUGCGAACAACAGCAACUUCGCUCUGGCUGCUUAAUUAAGUAGCCGCGUUCGUCGGAUAGCGCACCCGCCGCGCUCCGGCGGACGUCGCGAAAUGCGGGUGUAGCCGGUUCGGUUCCCCGGACGGACCGGCGAAAUCAAUUCGGGGUUGCCCUGCCGCCGUUUUGCCUUUUCUCGAGGCGGCGGGGCGAGAAUCGAGAAAAGGCUGAGCAUGGAGUAGCCUCUCGCCUGACGCUUCCGGACGCGGGUUCGACUCCCGCCGCCUCCACCA